GAACCAUCUUCAUCUCAGGAGAUGAAGUUUGUAAGGAGUUGUUGUUGAGGUUAUAAUUCGGUUCUUUAGAAUCUGGUUCAAACUAGACAGCCACAUCCAUGUUCCUGAGCAUGCUUGUUCAACACAAUAAUGGGAAGUGUAGUUUAGGUCACCCCACACCCCCCAUGUGUACCCCAACCGAGGCACGGAGAUGGCUUCUUCCCCUCCCAAGAGCACACCAUGAGUGCUCUCCCGCUGCAAAUCAUUAAACAACUAUUACUAUGUGGCACAAGCAGAAGGCUUCCCUAUGACCAAAUGGGGCUCAAGUGGCCAGCAUCAGUGCCCUGCUCUGGUCUGGUUCAACCCAAGCAGGCCAUUGGUUGCCCCCACCACCCUUCCCCCAACAGGGACAGACAGCCUCUUAUGCAGUGUCUGAUCCCAAUGCUAUUGGCAUGGUCCCUCACUCUUCCCCAUUCGAUCCCCACCCAGUGACUUCCAUAGGGUAAUAAUAUGAAGUACUACAAGGAACUGCCCAGGUAGCAAGCAGCGUACCACACUCUGCUCGCCUCUUCUCAUUCCCUCUCCAUUCCCAGUCGUGUACAUUAUUUUACUGCAAUGCAUUGGGAACUGACCUGUAGGAGGGAGAGA
rnacentral:lncRNA from 1 species